GAUCAGCUGAUGAAAAAGGC
rnacentral:misc_RNA from 1 species